UGAGGUAGUAGAUUGUAUAGUUUUAGGGUCAUACCCCAUCUUGGAGAUAACUAUACAGUCUACUGUCUUUCC
rnacentral:pre_miRNA from 2 species